UUUACUCUCUUUUUUUACCGCAGUUUACUUUUGUCCAUGUGUAAAACCUUAUCCCCCGAGUGUGAAGCCAAAACCCUUGGCAAAAACCCCCCAACAAAAGAUGCCCACAGCGGAGCAAUGAAACGAAUAUGGAGGCUCUCCGACGCGGCCCAAUCCGAGCUCUUCAGCCGCCACCGAUGCUCCCCUAAACCCAAAACCCUAACCCCCUACACUUACACCCUCACCAACUCCGCCAAUUUCAGAUUCACUCGCGACGUCGUCAACAAUGCCCAGAACCCGCCUCCUUCUCCUCCACCCAACUCCUUCUCAAGCGUCAUCGCUCUCUUCACCGACCAGCCCAGCCCACAAGAGACCAGGGCCCGGGAGGAUCUGGCCCGCAAGAUCAAGCAGCUGAGGGCGGAGCUGGUUCAGAGCGCCGGCGAUUCGGAGAAGAUUGUUAGGGUUUUGGAGGAGAAGGGCUGUGAGUUUUUGUGGAGCAGUAAUUUUAAGGAUGUAAUUCCUAUUGUGGAGCUUAUGCAUCAGUUGCGUCAUUGGCCUCAUUUGGCCCUGGAGGUUUUUAAUUGGAGAAGAAAUCAGGCGGAUGGUGGCACUCCUAUGACGGCUGAGGAGUAUACCAAGGCUAUUACAUUUGCAGGUAAAAUUAAGAAUGUUCAACUUGCCCUCGAGUUAUUCGAUGAAGCUGUAAACAAGCGGAUCAAGACAACUUCUAUGUAUAAUGCACUCAUGAGUGCUUAUGUGCUCAAUGGCCAUACUGCUAAAUGUCAGUCUUUGUUUCGGGACCUCAAGAGGGAACAGUAUAUCAGACCUACCAUUGUGACAUACAACAUUCUCAUUUCCGUCUUUGGUCGAUUGAUGCUAGUUGAUCAUAUGGAGGCAACUCUUCGGAGGUUAAAGGAAUCAGAUCUCUCCCCUAAUUUAGGCACAUACAAUAAUUUAAUUGCUGGAUACAUUACUGCUUGGAUGUGGGAUAGAAUGGAAAAAACUUUCGGAAUGAUGAAGGCAGGCCCUGUUAGUCCUGAUAUUAGCACCUACUUGCUAAUGCUUCGAGGAUAUGCACAUUCAGGUAAUCUGGUAAAGAUGGAGGAGACGUAUGAGUUGGUGAAACAUCAUGUAAACGACAAGGAAAUCCCAUUGAUAAGGGCUAUGAUAUGUGCAUAUUGCAGUAGUUCUGUCACAGACAGAGUGCAAAAAAUACACACACUGAUGAACCUUAUUCCAGAAAAUCAAUACAGGCCUUGGUUGAAUGUAAUGCUGAUUAGGGUUUAUGCUCAAGAGGAUUGUUUUGAGGCGAUGGAGAGGUCAAUAAAUGAAGCAUUUGAGCGCAAAACCUCCAUACAUACUGCCGGUUUGAUGCGAUCUAUAGUUGCGAGUUAUUUCAGAUGCAAAGAGGUGGACAGACUAGCACAUUUUGUGAAGCGUGCAGAAUGUGCUAGGUGGAGAAUUUGCCGGUCCCUAUAUCACUGUAAGAUGGUCAUGUAUGCAUCAGAACAGCGCUUAGAAGAAAUGGAGAAUGUCCUUGGUGAGAUGGCGUGUUUUAAGUUGGAUCGCACGAAGAAAACAUUUUGGAUAUUGUAUCAUGCCUACUCUAGUUGUGGUCAAAGAAAUAAGGUUGCACAAGUAUUAGGAUCAAUGUGGAAGCAUGGUUAUGAAGUUCCAUUGGAGGUAUUGUCAUCAUGAUUCUUUCUUUCACUAUGGUAGAACAUAUUGGAUGCCAGAAAUAGCAUAAAGCAAUAUUCGUGAAAGGUUCAUUCCGUCUAUAAUACGCAACAGGGGUUCAACGUCUUUCUCAGAAUCAAUACAUUAUUUGAUGGACCAUGGCUGUCAAAAUGCUGAAUGCUUAUAGAAAUCCAAAUAAGUUCCACCAAGUCAUCGAAGAGUUCCAUCAAAAAAUCCCAGCAUUUGUGAUUGAAUCAACAAAUCUUUUAGCAAAUUAGAUUGACAAAGAGACAGACCUUGCCAUAUAUGAGGGACUGUAGAUGAUGCGACAAAUUACAUCUGAAACAAGACCAAGGUAAUAUUCGGAAGUAAUUUUCCAGAUUCUUGCAUGUACUUUCUGAUAGUAUAAAACAAAAAUUUUGCUGCCAAUUCAAUUUUAUAAUUGUUCUUUGAAGUAGGAUCCAUCCAGCUGCAGCUUAAUUGUAUCUGCAUGGCUUUGGAACUAUGGAUGAUAUAUGUGUAUGAAUACUCAAAAAAAAAAAAAACUUCUCAUUCUUAUCAUACA